AGUGGACGCUGGCGGUAGGCCUAACACAUGCAAGUCGAACGGCAGCACAGGAGAGCUUGCUCUCUGGGUGGCGAGUGGCGGACGGGUGAGGAAUACAUCGGAAUCUACUCUGUCGUGAGGGAUAACGUAGGGAAACUUACGCUAAUACCGCAUACGACCUACGGGUGAAAGCAGGGGAUCUUCGGACCUUGCGCGAUUGAAUGAGCCGAUGUCGGAUUAGCUAGUUGGCGGGGUAAAGGCCCACCAAGGCGACGAUCCGUAGCUGGUCUGAGAGGAUGAUCAGCCACACUGGAACUGAGACACGGUCCAGACUCCUACGGGAGGCAGCAGUGGGGAAUAUUGGACAAUGGGCGCAAGCCUGAUCCAGCCAUACCGCGUGGGUGAAGAAGGCCUUCGGGUUGUAAAGCCCUUUUGUUGGGAAAGAAAUCCAGCUGGCUAAUACCCGGUUGGGAUGACGGUACCCAAAGAAUAAGCACCGGCUAACUUCGUGCCAGCCGCCGCCGUAA
rnacentral:rRNA from 1 species